UUUCCGUAGGUGAACCUGCGGAAGGAUCAUUAACAAGUUAGGGUCUUCCAGGCCCGACCUCCCAACCCUAUGUUUAUUGAACCUCUGUUGCUUCGGCGGACCCGCCUCACGGCCGCCGGAGGACCGCUGCAAGGCGUCCUCUGGCCAGCGUCCGCCGAUGGCCAACCACUUAAACUCUGAAUGAAUCGUGUCAUAUGUCUAAGUCUAUGAUUAAAUUAAAGCAAAACUUUCAACAACGGAUCUCUUGGUUCUG
rnacentral:misc_RNA from 1 species